CGAACAUUUUUUAAUUUUUCUAUAUUAAACUUAACCCAACUUGAGUGCCCCACAGGACACAAUUGGCAGGAAGCUCAAUACAGAUACCUUUCCCUGUUUCCUUUCCCUCCCUUAGAUGGUGGGACCUGGAACUCUGCAAGUUUCAUGUGAAGAUGAGGGGGCUCUGUGCUGGUGCCUUACCCCUUCCAGGCUAGGCACAGCGGAAACUUCAUGAUGGGGAAACUUCACCUGGGAUCCCACAGCCUUGAAGGAAUCUUUCCUAUUCUGUGACUCUAUGAUUCAGGACUUCCUGGAAUUCUAAAGCACUAGAAGCUUUCCAAAGGGCUCCAACUACCUAAUUGCCAGCUUCCAAGCUCUUCCCAGCAUUACUUUUAUGAGAGGUUCCAAGUCAAAAAGUCUCAGUGAAGGGCUAAUUGAAACAGAUUAAGUCAGGUCAACUCCAAAGAAAUCCACUGUGACCAGAGAAUAAUGAAAUGACAUGGCAGCUCCUGUGGGAACCACAGAGCUGGAAGAACAGAAGUGAGAUGCUGGCUGAGCAAAACAAGGGGUGCCUGUUACAUCUGCCCUUACUUUUUCAUGCCAACUCAGCUUACUGUCAGGCAACGGUUCUGUUCACUCAUUAAAUAAGCGCUUAUUGAGUGUCUGCUUCAUGCUAUGGACUGUGCUAGAUUUUGGGGACACAAGGAUGAAUAUGAUGUUCUUCUAUUAUGUGUCUCACAGAGUACUAGGCACUCAGGUAUAAAUAAAUAUAAAACAAUUGGCUUGGAACCUUCAGGAACUUGCCAUGUAACUGGAGGAAGAAGACUAUGGUAUGUAUUUGGAGAAUAAUCGAGAGUUAAGCUGUCUGCUAUGGAUGAUGAGGGUAAGAGAAGGCUCAAGGUAAGUGAGGUCAGUGAGACCUGAGCAGUCAGAGGAAGCAUCUUCUUUGGGGUCUUAAAGAGUGAGGAAGUUUCUGUUUAUGAUUACACGUGUUUAAGUGCAGUAUUUUCACAACAUCAGACUGAGGCCCUCUGCUCAAGGUUCUGUGCAUCUGGAGGCAUUCUGGAAGGCAGCUGUUUAGCCAGUGGCCCUAUUCCUUUCUCACAGACAGGACUACCACCCACAGCUCUUCUGAUAGCCUUGUUUUUAAUUGCUGUGGCAUGUUGGAUCAAAGCCUCUGAGUUUGAUGCAAGUUCAAAAUAAUUUCCUUCAAGGAUUAACUCAUCUUUUCUGGGCUUGGGGAGCUACACAAGCAACAUCUGGUACAGCCUUCAGCGGGAUCUUUCACCCAAGGAGUUUCUGAUUUCAACAUGUGAGCCACCCUGCAGAAUAACAUCAGCGAUGGGAAACAGCACUCAGACCUUAUCUCGUAAUGAAAGCUCCAUGUAACACCCCCGGUCAUGUUUGCACACGACUAAUAAAUGGCACAAAUUGUGACAGGUGCCUUAUCAUUUUGUCUCUUGCCAAAAUGACUGAAUUCGACACUGAUGGGGCUGAAA